rnacentral:rRNA from 1 species
AUUGAACGCUGGCGGCAGGCCUAACACAUGCAAGUCGAACGGUAACAGGAAGAAGCUUGCUUCUUUGCUGACGAGUGGCGGACGGGUGAGUAAUGUCUGGGAAACUGCCUGAUGGAGGGGGAUAACUACUGGAAACGGUAGCUAAUACCGCAUAACUUCGCAAGACCAAAGAGGGGGACCUUCGGGCGUCUUGCCAUCGGAUGUGCCCAGAUGGGAUUAGCUAGUAGGUGGGGUAACGGCUCACCUAGGCGACGAUCCCUAGCUGGUCUGAGAGGAUGACCAGCCACACUGGAACUGAGACACGGUCCAGACUCCUACGGGAGGCAGCAGUGGGGAAUAUUGCACAAUGGGCGCAAGCCUGAUGCAGCCAUGCCGCGUGUAUGAAGAAGGCCUUCGGGUUGUAAAGUACUUUCAGCGGGGAGGAAGGGAGUAAAGUUAAUACCUUUGCUCAUUGACGUUACCCGCAGAAGAAGCACCGGCUAACUACGUG